UUUCAAACACACCAUCUUCUUCCUCCUAAUCGCUGCGGUACCCCAGUGUGGCGUGUCACAGGCCACAGUCUGGUAAAACAGCGCAUUAUAAUUCCUGAGAUCAGGGGAUUUCUGAGACUUGCUCUUGGCGGGAUGCUGAUUGGAGUCACAGGACAUGGGGGCGGCAAGGAGGCACUUAUCCGGGUGCGGGAGAGGAGAUGCUGCUGACGAGAUGGUGGGAAGGACUGACAAUAAAACAUUUUGGAGUCAACAUUAGGGAAACACAGAGGAGAACGAAGUGGUGCUCUACAGGAGCUGCCAUAACCUCCGGCGCCCGGGACGUGGUGCGGCUCCGACUGCUCAAGGCACGGGGCUUCAGACUCCGCCCACCUGUGACCCCGGUGCAC